GAUGAACGCUGGCGGCGUGCCUAAUACAUGCAAGUCGAGCGAACAGACGAGGAGCUUGCUCCUCUGACGUUAGCGGCGGACGGGUGAGUAACACGUGGAUAACCUACCUAUAAGACUGGGAUAACUUCGGGAAACCGGAGCUAAUACCGGAUAAUAUAUUGAACCGCAUGGUUCAAUAGUGAAAGACGGUUUUGCUGUCACUUAUAGAUGGAUCCGCGCCGCAUUAGCUAGUUGGUAAGUUAACGGCUUACCAAGGCAACGAUGCGUAGCCGACCUGAGGGGGUGAUCGGCGACACUGGAACUGAACCACGGUCAAGACUCCUGCGGGAGGCAGCAGUAGGGAAUCUUCCGCAAUGGGCGCGAGCCUGGCAGAACAGCGCCGCGUGAGUGAUGAAGAUCUUCGGAUCGUAAAACUGUGUUAUUAGGGAAGAACCACUGUCUAAGUAACUGUGCACGUCUUGACGGUACCUAAUCAGAAAGCAACGGCUAACUACGUG
rnacentral:rRNA from 1 species